AGAGUUUGAUCCUGGCUCAGGAUGAACGCUGGCGGCGUGCCUAAUACAUGCAAGUCGAGCGAACGGACGAGAAGCUUGCUUCUCUGAUGUUAGCGGCGGACGGGUGAGUAACACGUGGAUAACCUACCUAUAAGACUGGGAUAACUUCGGGAAACCGGAGCUAAUACCGGAUAAUAUUUUGAACCGCAUGGUUCAAAAGUGAAAGACGGUCUUGCUGUCACUUAUAGAUGGAUCCGCGCUGCAUUAGCUAGUUGGUAAGGUAACGGCUUACCAAGGCAACGAUGCAUAGCCGACCUGAGAGGGUGAUCGGCCACACUGGAACUGAGACACGGUCCAGACCCCUACGGGAGGCAGCAGUAGGGAAUCUUCCGCAAUGGGCGAAAGCCUGACGGAGCAACGCCGCGUGAGUGAUGAAGGUCUUCGGAUCGUAAAACUCUGUUAUUAGGGAAGAACAUAUGUGUAAGUAACUGUGCACAUCUUGACGGUACCUAAUCAGAAAGCCACGGCUAACUACGUGCCAGCAGCCGCGGUAAUACGUAGGUGGCAAGCGUUAUCCGGAAUUAUUGGGCGUAAAGCGCGCGUAGGCGGUUUUUUAAGUCUGAUGUGAAAGCCCACGGCUCAACCGUGGAGGGUCAUUGGAAACUGGAAAACUUGAGUGCAGAAGAGGAAAGUGGAAUUCCAUGUGUAGCGGUGAAAUGCGCAGAGAUAUGGAGGAACACCAGUGGCGAAGGCGACUUUCUGGUCUGUAACUGACGCUGAUGUGCGAAAGCGUGGGGAUCAAACAGGAUUAGAUACCCUGGUAGUCCACGCCGUAAACGAUGAGUGCUAAGUGUUAGGGGGUUUCCGCCCCUUAGUGCUGCAGCUAACGCAUUAAGCACUCCGCCUGGGGAGUACGACCGCAAGGUUGAAACUCAAAGGAAUUGACGGGGACCCGCACAAGCGGUGGAGCAUGUGGUUUAAUUCGAAGCAACGCGAAGAACCUUACCAAAUCUUGACAUCCUUUGACAACUCUAGAGAUAGAGCCUUCCCCUUCGGGGGACAAAGUGACAGGUGGUGCAUGGUUGUCGUCAGCUCGUGUCGUGAGAUGUUGGGUUAAGUCCCGCAACGAGCGCAACCCUUAAGCUUAGUUGCCAUCAUUAAGUUGGGCACUCUAAGUUGACUGCCGGUGACAAACCGGAGGAAGGUGGGGAUGACGUCAAAUCAUCAUGCCCCUUAUGAUUUGGGCUACACACGUGCUACAAUGGACAAUACAAAGGGCAGCGAAACCGCGAGGUCAAGCAAAUCCCAUAAAGUUGUUCUCAGUUCGGAUUGUAGUCUGCAACUCGACUACAUGAAGCUGGAAUCGCUAGUAAUCGUAGAUCAGCAUGCUACGGUGAAUACGUUCCCGGGUCUUGUACACACCGCCCGUCACACCACGAGAGUUUGUAACACCCGAAGCCGGUGGAGUAACCUUUUAGGAGCUAGCCGUCGAAGGUGGGACAAAUGAUUGGGGUGAAGUCGUAACAAGGUAGCCGUAUCGGAAGGUGCGGCUGGAUCACCU
rnacentral:rRNA from 1 species